UUUGUUCAUUUCCAUUUUCAACCUUUUUUUGAACAAAAAAAAAAAAAAAAAAAAAACAUGAUUCCCGCUGC
rnacentral:ribozyme from 1 species